rnacentral:rRNA from 1 species
GCCUAUGACCAAAUCACCCUGAAUUCGCCCAAUCUCGUCGGAUCUCAGAAGAUAAACAGAGUUGAGCCUGGUUAGUACUUGGACGGCGGACCAGAUGUUUGUAGGCU